rnacentral:rRNA from 1 species
UACGAAGGGGGCUAGCGUUGUUCGGAUUUACUGGGCGUAAAGCGCACGUAGGCGGAUCGUUAAGUCGGGGGUGAAAUCCUGGAGCUCAACUCCAGAACUGCCUUCGAUACUGGCGAUCUUGAGUCCGGAAGAGGUGAGUGGAACUCCUAGUGUAGAGGUGGAAUCCGUAGAUAUUAGGAAGAACACCAGUGGCGAAGGCGGCUCACUGGUCCGGUACUGACGCUGAGGUGCGAAAGCGUGGGAGCAAACAGG